GGUUUUUAUGGACAUUAGUUAUUUUGAACUUAACUUAAGGGCGUUCGACUCGCUCAAAAGCCU
rnacentral:tRNA from 1 species